rnacentral:rRNA from 1 species
GCUGAACUUAAGCAUAUCAAUAAGCGGAGGAAAAGAAACUAACAAGGAUUCCCCUAGUAACUGCGAGUGAAGCGGGAUAAGCUCAAAUUUAAAAUCUGGUGGUCUUUGGCCGCCCGAGUUGUAGUCUGGAGAAGUGCUUUCUGUGCUGGACCGUGUACAAGUCUCUUGGAACAGAGCGUCAUAGAGGGUGAGAAUCCCGUCUUUGACACGGACUACCAGUGCUUUGUGAUGCGCUCUCAAAGAGUCGAGUUGUUUGGGAAUGCAGCUCAAAAUGGGUGGUGAAUUCCAUCUAAAGCUAAAUAUUGGCGAGAGACCGAUAGCGAACAAGUACCGUGAGGGAAAGAUGAAAAGCACUUUGGAAAGAGAGUUAAACAGUACGUGAAAUUGCUGAAAGGGAAACGCUUGAAGUCAGUCGCGUUGUUCAGAACUCAGCCUUGCUUCUGCUUGGUGCAUUUUCUGACUAACGGGCCAGCAUCGAUUCUGACCGUCGGAAAAGGGCCAGAGUAAUGUGGCACCUCCGGGUGUGUUAUAGACUUUGGUCACAUACGGCGGUCGGGAUCGAGGAAUGCAGCGCGCCGCAAGGCAGGGGUUCGCCCACUUUCGGUUGAGACCUCUGUCGUGGAGGGCAUUGACGCCCGGACCUGACGUUCUCUAAAGGAUCCGCGGUAGAGCAUGUAUGUUGGGACCCGAAAGAUGGUGAACUAUGCCUGAAUAGGGUGAAGCCAGAGGAAACUCUGGUGGAGGCUCGUAGCGAUUCUGACGUGCAAAUCGAUCGUCAAAUUUGGGUAUAGGGGCGAAAGACUA